rnacentral:misc_RNA from 1 species
AACGCACAUUGCGCCCCCUGGCAUUCCGGGGGGCAUGCCUGUCCGAGCGUCAUUUCUGCCCUCAAGCGCGGCUUGUGUGUUGGGCGUGGUUCCCCUGGUUUAGCGGGGACCUGCCCCAAAGGCAGCGGCGACGUUCCGCCCAGUCCUCGAGCGUAUGGGGCUUUGUCACGCGCUCGGGAGGGACUGGCCGGCGUUGGUCACCUCUCAGACUUUUCACGGUUGACCUCGGAUCAGGUAGGAGUUACCCGCUGAACUUAA